GGAUUUAGAUUAGUGGUGUGUUUACUUGUAGUUAGUAUAAAAAUAGCGGUGAGGUGAGAUUAGACACUAUAACGUGAGAUAAAAAUUAAGCUAAAUACACAGUUUUAACGCACUGGAGACUUUUUUUUUUUUUUUCUACCUGCUCUUUGCUCGAGCUAGAAGUUUCAACAUCAAAUAAUUAAUAGAUCAUUUUACAUUUAUAUCCUGUUUUGUCUUCUUGCCAUUCUUUUCAUUUUUAUUGUUUUUU
rnacentral:lncRNA from 1 species